rnacentral:lncRNA from 1 species
GUCAGCCUGUAUCUCUAGUAGCUCUAGUGACGGCUAGUGUCGCAUAAUUGUAACGGACUUCGAUAAGUGGACAUUCCCAGUAUGACCGCCAAGGAGAUCGUUUUAUCCAAUCAAAGCAAACCGCAAAAGGAAAGGUCUUGUAGGCUUUGUAAACAUGCAUAAAAUUAACGAAAAUUUGAAUUCUGUGCGUUGUCUCAGUUGAAAGUGGUAAAUAUUAUGUUUAUAAAGAUAGAUGAGGUGUUAGGAUGGCAGGUUUUGUAUAAGAAAUAUAAGAAAGUUCAGUGUUCGUUUCAUGUGAGAACAAAUCGUUUGAAAUCCUGAGGCCAGCUUAACGUCAAAAAAGAACUACAGAGCAUCGGCCAUGACCUAGAAUACAAGCUGCAACUGUUAUUCUUAUAAUGACUGCAUAUUUCAUUUUUGCUCACAUCUUAAAGACGGAAUGCAAAAGCUGUUGAGUCUCAGAGCCAUAAAUUUAGAAACAGCAUGUGGAACUUACCAUCUGCAAUAUGACUAUUUGUUUAAAAGUUUAUUGCUCAUACCACUUAGCACUCUAUAUGUUUAAAAAGAGUUCUUUUUGUAUGCAGCUAUUAUGUUAAUCAGCAUGUUUUGUAACAGAUAUUUAAUGCAAAGCAGAGUAAUGAAGUCUGAAACCAGACUUGGUUUUAAUCUUGAUACAUCAAGGGUUAAUAACUAAUUUCUUGUUGAGAAAGUACUUAAAGUUAAUUAAAAUCUGUAAAAUGUACAAAAAAAAAAAAAAAAAUUACUUUGCAAGUCUUUUUUUUCAUUAUUUAAGAAGGUAGAAAUUAUGUAAUGUUAUUUGUCAUAUGCUUUUGGUAAAUAAUAUUGUAAUAUGAAAAUAUAACAAUGAUAAGGUACUUUCUUAUCUAUACCCGUGGCAAAAGGUCCUGAGAAAGUAUUCAUUAUGCAAAGCAGUAUGCCGCCAAAAUAGUUAUGUAGCAGCCCAUGAUAUUGCAAAAAAGUAUUCAUGUGGCAACCUAGGUAUGCAUGUAGUACAUGUCUAUUUUGGAUGGCAUGCAACACUCAAGUUGUAUGAAUAGCAAAUUUGUGCAGUUCCCUAAUUUUGUUUUUAAGCAAAAACAGAUUGUUGUGUAUAUGGGGAGACAGUGCAAAAAAAUGUCUUAUUACCGAUGUUUUUUCAUGCUUUUUUAAUUUGAUUCAUUGCUCUUGUAUGCAGUGUGCAAUCAUUAUAAAAAUCAAAGUUUUUUGUGCAUUAGCUUGGUGAAAAAUUAGUCACCAGUAAGUUUGCUAAUACUCUCUAAAGUUGACAAUGAGUUUGCAACCUUUUGAUGGGGAUGUAGAUAGUAAGAAAGUACGAAUAAUAGUCUGAAAAGUGUUUUGUAUUUCUUGAGGGAAAUUAUGUAUACGUAAUAUACAUAUGUUGUGAAUUUAGUUGCAUCUGUGUUUUUUCUGUUGUAUUUUAGUCAUGACUUAAAAAGGGGUAAGUAGAUAUUUAAUAACACUUUUUUUCUCAUUCAAAAUUAUUACCCAAUUUUGGUGAUACAUUUGCCAGAUCUGUGGCAGCAAGUAAGUUUUUUUUUAAUAUAUAUUUUUUUGUUUAUGUAUUUAUUUUUAUUGUUUUUAGUAUAAUUGAUUGAUGAGAUUUUAGUGUAAUACUGAAAUAAUAACUCUUGUCACAUCCAUAAUAGUAAGGAAAAUGUCGAAAGUGGAAACCCUUUUACUAAUUUUAACAGGUAUGCAAUUAGGAAGGUAUGAUCCAAAUACAAAUUGAAUUUAGAAAUUUUUCAUUUAAUGAGCUAACUUUCCUGUUUGUUUUAUUUUCAUUUCUUCUGCCUUGGCUUCCUUUUGUCUACAAGGCUGGCCAAGGGAGAAGGAAGUCAUUGGCAAUAUUUCCAACCCAAUUUUGAUAUAGUGGAAAUUAAAAUUUUUGGCAGAUGAAGAUUUCAGUGCAUAGGCAUUUAGAGUUUUGAACAUUUCAUGAAAUACAAGACAGUAAGUGUAAUUUUAAUAUUUGAUACUUUCUAAUUACUACUGAUUUUAUACUAAUUGAAUUGGAAUCUCAAUACAUGUUAGCUAAAACACAUGUGAAUAAUUAAGAGAGAUAGAAAUUGUGCAAACUUUUUUAUAAAGCUACAUGCAAAAAAUGAGGGUUUUAAAGAUUUCUUGUUCUUCAUCAAGCAGUUGUUAUUAAUCAUUAUUGAGAGUUUUUCAUAAUUUUAAUGGCUGGAAUAUUUAAUUUUUAGUGUCAUAUAUAGAAACAUCAAAACAUUAAAAAUGAAAUUAAAUAAAAAAAUUAGAAAACAUUAAAAAUGUUAUCUUUUUGUUGAAACACAUGUUUGAAUGUCAGAAGAACUGGGGGGGGGGCAACUGAAGAAUUUUUACAUGUUUCAAAUCUUGCUUAAAUUCCCUUUUUCUGGAUAAAAGCUGAUUUGGGCCUACCUAAUUAUUAGGAGGUGGUUAUUUUAUGAAAAUGUGCUAGGAAAAGAAUUUAUAUUCAGUCUGAGAUAUCUAGUUUUAGGUGCCUUUGAAGAAAAAAUAAUAAUGAAAACCUGUUAAGUGUACUAGGCAUGAAAGACCAGCAGAUGAGCAUUUGAUGUCUUUAGGCAAAGAAAGUUCAAGUGUCAUUCUAUGUAUUAUAUAAAUUAAUUAAUAAUAUUCUAUGUAUUAUUUCUUAAGCUAACCUCCUGUGGAUGAUUUUGAUCUUCUAUGAAUAUUCUUUGUUCUUCCUUGCACAGCAUGACUGUUGGUGAAGAAUUGUACUUUCAGAAAUAUUGUACUUUUUCAGAGAUAGUUGUCUUGGAGAAAUUAUUGUCAUGAAAUGUUUUGCUGUCUGUUUAUUUAUAAUAUUAAAAUAAUUUUAUUUAAUUUUAAAUUAAAGAAUAUUUAGCCAGACUUUAAAAAUUAGGUGGUUUAUGAUCUGUCUUUUCUUUAUUUAUGAAUAACACAUGGCUUCAUACUUUGAUAACCCUAGGUGAUUGCCUAGUCAUAAAAUUGCAGCUUUAAGUGUGCUAUUUCACCACAUCAGGGGCUAUGAAAAGCAUUCUGUUAGGAUCUGCAUGGAUGCUGCUGUUGUGUACUGUCACAACUAGCGUUUUUUGGUACCACAGAAUAUUGCAACAAAUGCUGUGUAUAAAGGUUGACUAAUAACAUGUCAUGCUGCCUUUGAUUGUGCAAUAAAAUUGUGUAUUAUA